rnacentral:rRNA from 1 species
UGGUGGGGUGACUUGUCUGCCUAAUCGCGAUAACGAACGAGACCUUAACCUGCUAAAUAGCCCGUAUUGCUUUGGCAGUACGCCGGCUUCUUAGAGGGACUAUCGGCGCAAGCCGAUGGAAGUUUGAGGCAAUAACA